AAGUCGUAACAAGGUUUCCGUAGGUGAACCUGCGGAAGGAUCAUUAACACGUGUUUUAACUAACCGUAUUAACCAAACGUGAAUUUGUGACUUAAGCCUGUUAUUGAAUGGUGAGCUGAUUGUGUGGUAAUGGUAUGAUUACGGUGCUUCGCGCAUAGUUUUCUAACACAUGGUCUUAGCGUGCUGGACACGCGGCUUGUUCUCAAUAAUAGUAGAUGAAUUUCGGCUGCUUAUUAAUGCCUGUACCUUGGCUUGCAGUCCGGAGUGAAACUGAUUACUUACCCAAUAAUUUAUAUUUAUUCUGAUUUGUACGUUUAUAUUGAUUCCUUCACUCUUAACGGGGUUUGGUUGAGUCUGUAUAGAUGUCGUAUAUUACUAAUACGAAACAACUCUUAGCAACGGAUAUCUUGGUUCUC
rnacentral:misc_RNA from 1 species